rnacentral:rRNA from 1 species
UCGAGAAUAUUCCACAAUGGACGAAAGUCUGAUGGAGCGACGCCGCGUGCAGGAUGAAGGCCUUAGGGUCGUAAACUGCGGUAGUACAGCAGCAAUGCAAAUGAGCGCUGUACGGAAAGAGGUGGGUAACUACGUGCCAGCACCAGCGGUAAUACGUAGACCUCAAGCGUUAUCCGGAUUUAUUGGGCGUAAAGCGUGUGUAGGCGGCUCUGUGCGUCUCGUGUUAAAGACCACCGCUCAACGGUGGAAAUGCGCGGGAUACGGCAGGGCUUGAGGAGGUUAGAGGUGCUUGGAACUCACGGUGUAGCGGUGAAAUGCGUAGAUAUCAAGAGGAACACCUGAGGUGAAGACGGUUGCUGGGCUGACACUGACGCUGAGGCGCGAAAGCCAGGGGAGCAAACGGGAUUAGAUACCCCGGUAGUCCCUGAGCGGGCUGGCAAGGCGCAU